GAUGAACGCUGGCGGCGUGCCUAAUACAUGCAAGUCGAGCGAACAGACGAGGAGCUUGCUCCUCUGACGUUAGCGGCGGACGGGUGAGUAACACGUGGAUAACCUACCUAUAAGACUGGGAUAACUUCGGGAAACCGGAGCUAAUACCGGAUAAUAUAUUGAACCGCAUGGUUCAAUAGUGAAAGACGGUUUUGCUGUCUCUUAUAGAUGGAUCCGCGCCGCAUUAGCUAGUUGGUAAGGUAACGGCUUACCAAGGCGACGAGGCGUAGCCGAACUGUGAGGGUGAUCGGCCACACUGGAACUGAAACACGGUCCAGAGUCCUACGGGAGGCAGCAGUAGGGAAUCUUCCGCAAUGGGCGAAAGCCUGACGGAGCAACGCCGCGUGAGUGAUGAAGGUCUUCGGAUCGUAAAACUCUGUUAUUAGGGAAGAACAAAUGUGUAAGUAACUAUGCACGUCUUGACGGUACCUAAUCAGAAAGCCACGGCUAACUACGUG
rnacentral:rRNA from 1 species